rnacentral:lncRNA from 1 species
CAAAUUUGUUUUUAGGAAAUAAUAUUGUUUCUUAAUAGGUUCUCAUUGUUGGGUAGUUGUUAUUUGCCAAACAAAUGAUUAGAAUGAAAUAGUAUUGGUUUGACGUACACUAAAUUUUCUUUGAUCAAUUCUUUAAUGUCUUCUCUUCCUUCUAAACAAUGUAUAUAGAUUCGUUGUUCAGUAAAAUAGUAUAUAAACCAAUGAAAUACAAUUCACAUGAAUUCCUAGAGAAAAACUUUGAUCAAAAAAAAAAAAAAAAUUCCUAGAGAAUUUAAGACCCGUCAAUAUCGAUUUCAGAGAGACAAACAUUUACAUUUGUGUAUUUGACUUGGGCUCAUUGAAUUUUUCCUUUCUAUCAGGCCAAACAACGACCUUCCACGUUCUUUUAAACUCUUUAUUAGUUUGUGAUGACUUUUACAUAAGGCCAUCUUUAUUUUUAUAGUACUGUCAUCGCUUUAAGUCCAUACCUGAAGUUCUCUAAUUUUCCAGUUACAUAGUUUCACAGGUUAUAAAGAGUAGUGCUUGCUUCUCCUUCUCUCCUACCAAGCUUUUGUUUUGAUGAAGAUUGUAGAUAAAGGAACAAAAUGGCUACACAGGAACAUUCAUCACUCUGCCUUCCUACCAAACCAUCCCAUCAUACAAAACAGAGAAGAUUAUAAUGUGAGCACGG